UAAAGCAUAGCAUUAAUGCACUGGAUCCCAUUAGAACUAUGUAGUUAAGCACGCUCAGGCUAGACUAGUACUGGGAUGGGUGACUGCCCGAAAAGUCCUAGUGUUUUCC
rfam:Picea glauca, whole genome shotgun sequence.